rnacentral:misc_RNA from 1 species
GAAAGUUCUUGUAAAAUGAUCUUUCAUGCCAAAUCCUAAACUCUUCUCCUUCUUUGCAGGCGGGGGCGAUUUCGAGGAGGUAGUCUGUCACCAAAUCCAGUGAAAAUUAUUGCUACUGCUGAUGCUACGAGCCCAACUGAAUAUCCAAUCCCCACUGCUGCCCAAGAAAACCAUGCUUCCUCUUCUGGUGUCUCCGCAGGUGCAGGUGAUUGCUCUGAUGGACAUGCCACCCUAAUUUGCAGACCACACAACCCACUGUUGUUGGCGUAAUAGCUUGGAUCAUCUAUCGUGUCCAUUUGGCCUCCCUCAGGAAUCUUACCCUCCAGCUUGUUGUUGCUCACAUCCAGAAUAGCAAGUUCCUGCAACUUUGACAGGGUCUGAGGAAUAGACCCUGAUAGUUUGUUGUGUGACAAGUCCAGGCUUUCUACACUCUCUAAAUCACUAAAACUUUCUGGUAUCUUGCCAGAGAUGUGGUUGUGUGAAAUAUUCAGUAUCUUUAGACCUUUCAAGUGACCUAGUGAAGCUGGGAUUUUGCCAGAAAGUUGGUUCUUUGACAAGUCUAGCAAGGAGUAGAUAUCCAGGCUGUAGCUUGAAAGACCUCGCUUUGAAUUCUUCCAAUUCACAACCAAGUCAUUGAACUCAAUGGGAAUGAUGAACAUGUCCGCAAUUGAUGCAAAGGUAAUGGGUGUUUCUAUCAUUCCUAGCAGAUUUCCAAACUUGACAGGAAUUUCCCCAAUGAGGUUGUUGUUUGACACAUCAAGAAUUCGGAGACUAGUGAGGUUGGAAAUUGUGUCAGGAAUAGAACCUUCGAAGGAGUUGUUGCGUAAGUUCAGGACUUGAAGACUGGAAAUUUGGGAGAGAGAUGUUGGCAAUUUUCCUGUAAUGUUAUUGUCAUGGAGAUCAAGAUGUUGAAGCUUCCUCAAGUUAGUGAGGUUUUUUGGUAAUCUGCCAGAGAACUUAUUGUUUCCUAAUGAAAGGAUAAUGGUUUCUUCAGAAAAUGUCACCGGAACCUCACCUGAGAACUCAUUAGAAGAGAAAUCGAUGAAAGCUAGCAAUGCGUCAGGUUUAAAAAUUGGGAUUUUCCCUGAGAAUCUAUUUCCUGACAAAUCUAGCAGAAUAAGCCGAUAAAUCUCAGAGAUGGACUCUGGAAUCUUCCCUGAAAAGUUGUUAUCAGACAACAUGAGAAUUAUAA